rnacentral:rRNA from 1 species
AGAGUUUGAUCCUGGCUCAGGAUGAAUUUUAGCUACAGGCUUAACACAUGCAAGUCGAGGGGCAGCAUGGUCUUAGCUUGCUAAGGCCGAUGGCGACCGGCGCACGGGUGAGUAACGCGUAUCCAACCUGCCUUACACUCUUGGACAGCCUUCUGAAAGGGAGAUUAAUACAAGAUGUUAUCAUGAGUAAGCAUUUUCGCAUGAUUAAAGGUUUACCGGUGUAAGAUGGGGAUGCGUUCCAUUAGAUAGUAGGCGGGGUAACGGCCCACCUAGUCUUCGAUGGAUAGGGGUUCUGAGAGGAAGGUCCCCCACAUUGGAACUGAGACACGGUCCAAACUCCUACGGGAGGCAGCAGUGAGGAAUAUUGGUCAAUGGACGAGAGUCUGAACCAGCCAAGUAGCGUGAAGGAUGAAGGUUCUAUGGAUUGUAAACUUCUUUUAUACGGGAAUAAACGGAUCCACGUGUGGAUUUUUGCAUGUACCGUAUGAAUAAGGAUCGGCUAACUCCGUGCCAGCAGCCGCGGUAAUACGGAGGAUCCGAGCGUUAUCCGGAUUUAUUGGGUUUAAAGGGAGCGUAGAUGGGUUGUUAAGUCAGUUGUGAAAGUUUGCGGCUCAACCGUAAAAUUGCAAUUGAUACUGGCAGUCUUGAGUACAGUUGAGGUAGGCGGAAUUCGUGGUGUAGCGGUGAAAUGCUUAGAUAUCACGAAGAACUCCGAUUGCGAAGGCAGCUUACUAACCUGUAACUGACAUUGAUGCUCGAAAGUGUGGGUAUCAAACAGGAUUAGAUACCCUGGUAGUCCACACGGUAAACGAUGAAUACUCGCUGAGGGCGAUAAACAUUUUGCGGCCAAGCGAAAGCAUUAAGUAUUCCACCUGGGGAGUACGCCGGCAACGGUGAAACUCAAAGGAAUGGACGGGGGCCCGCACAAGCGGAGGAACAUGUGGUUUAAUUCGAAGCAACGCGAAGAACCUUACCAAGUCUUGACAUCCGCCUGACCGAUCCUUAACCGGAUCUUUCCUUCGGGACAGGCGAGACAGGUGGUGCAUGGUUGUCGUCAGCUCGUGUCGUGAGAUGUUGGGUUAAGUCCCGCAACGAGCGCAACCCCUAUCCUCAGUAGCCAGCAUUUAAGGUGGGCACUCUGGGGAGACUGCCAGGGAUAACCUGGAGGAAGGCGGGGAUGACGUCAAAUCAUCAUGCCCCUUAUGAUUUGGGCUACACACGUGCUACAAUGGCGUAAACAAAGGGAAGCGAGCCUGCGAAGGUAAGCAAAUCCCAAAAAUAACGUCCCAGUUCGGACUGCAGUCUGCAACUCGACUGCACGAAGCUGGAAUCGCUAGUAAUCGCGGAUCAGAAUGCCGCGGUGAAUACGUUCCCGGGUCUUGCACACACCGCCCGUCAAG